rnacentral:rRNA from 1 species
CCUACGGGUGGCAGCAGUCGAGAAUCAUUCACAAUGGGGGAAACCCUGAUGGUGCGACGCCGCGUGGGGGAAUGAAGGUCUUCGGAUUGUAAACCCCUGUCAUGUGGGAGCAAAUUAAAAAGAUAGUACCACAAGAGGAAGAGACGGCUAACUCUGUGCCAGCAGCAGCGGUAAUACAGAGGUCUCAAGCGUUGUUCGGAAUCACUGGGCGUAAAGCGUGCGUAGGCUGUUUCGUAAGUCGUGUGUGAAAGGCGCGGGCUCAACCCGCGGACGGCACAUGAUACUGCGAGACGAGAGUAAGGGAGGGGGAACUGGAAGUCUCGGUGUAGCAGUGAAAUGCGUAGAUAGCGAGAGGAACACUCGUGGCGAAGGCGGGUUCCUGGACAUUAACUGACGCUGAGGCACGAAGGCCAGGGGAGCGAAAGGGAUUAGAUACCCGUGUAGUC